AGAUUUCUAAACCAUCUUUAAAUGGAUUAAAACUAUUCAUUCCAUAAACUAUAAAAUAUACUGACAUUCUAUUCAACUAUAAUUAAUUUCAACUUAUAUUUUAUUAAGUAGAAGAUAGCCACUAAGCUGGAUAUGAAGCAAUAAUCUUUCUUCUAGUUUUAGAUUUAUACUUAUAUAGAACUGUUUAUAACGGAGUAGACUGGGAUUGAGAGGGGUAAAUGUCUGCCAUCUCAACUUUGUAUUUUUUAUCAUGAGGAAGGGGAUAAAUUAACAUGUUUUUUAUUCACUCACAAAAGCAGGGCAGCAAAGAAAAAAGCAGAACAAAAAACAAACAAGCCCCAAACUCCCAACCAUUUCUCAUCCCAAAGAGCAUUGUUGGCUAAUCAGAUGCUUAAAUUCUUUUAAAUGCAGGCUAAUCUUCAUUCUAUGGAUUUAGUUGGGAAUGACAUUCACAAGAGUGAGAACCAAAGAAGAAAAGAGGAAGAUGGUGAUGGGAGUAGAAGAGGAUUCAUCAUCUUCACUGAGUGACUAGAAAAGACGCUUACUUCUCUGGGUCACAGUUUAUUGCAUUAAAUGGAAAAGAAAAUGAAUCUUUUUAUAAUGUCAUUUACAACAGUAUUUAAUAUUUGAAAAAUCACAACUUCCUUUCUUUAGAUAACUCUAAAAUCCCUUCCAACUUUACAGUUCUAUGAAUUCAUCAGGAUAGUAAUGCAUUCCUUUUAAUUAAAGGAAGACUUUUGAUUGUAUUUAUGUGACUAAAAGAAAAUUGGUGAAACUAUUUGCUGAUUAAACUAAGUCCUCCGUUGUGUAUGAGGUUUUAGUUUGUGAGUUCAACUAUAUAUUUUUUUCCUGUUUCUAAAAUCGUUUCAAUGAAAACUCAGUUGUCUGUUUACACUCAGUACAUGGCUCCUGGCUACUAAGAAUUCAGAUAUUAAAUACCCAUUCAUUAAUUCACUCAUUCAAACAUUUGCUGAAUACCUACCACAUGUGACAGAUAAUGAUGACCACGACCCAAUUUUCUAGUUCAUUGCAGUGAUACUCUUGUUGCUACGAAAAAAAGAUUGGGACCCUAACAAUGAGAGAUUGAUGAAAACUGUUGAUUUCUGUACAUAUUUGGGAAAACAAAAAAGGAUUACAAACAGAUUAGUUCCUUUUUUAUUCAAAAAAUUUAUUUUUUGUGAAUAAUUUUUUCAGUGCCAAAAAUAAUUAACUAAUGCCCAAUGAUAAACAUUUGCUCCAAAUCACUUAAACUUUAUGUGUCUCAGUUUGUACAUUUUUAAAGUGCAGAUAAUAAUAAAACCUACUUCCUAGAAUUAUUGUGAAGAUCAAAUACUGUAUGUAAAGCUUUUAGAAAGCAUAAAAAUGACAUUAUUAAAAAUUCCAUUAUUAUUAUUGUUAGUAGUUAGUAGUAGUAUUUAUCAAUUUUCAUUAUGAUCAUUAUGAACAUAUAUAUAAUGGACUCUAUGAAGUUCAAUACUAUAGACAUUGGGCUUACUUUAAAGUUACAUGUGUACAAACUAUGUGAAAUAUAUUACUUCAGCUUGAAAUGAAGACAGGGUAAAAUGAAUUUUCUUUUGGUUUGUUUUUCUGUUUUUCCUCUCCCCUGUGGAUGAAAAUUGAACAUGCUUGUAAGCAAUAGUGAUGGAGAUAGUAAACAGAAAGAUAUGGGAGAUGAAGUAAAUGGGGAAAAUGAUCUAUGAGAAAGACUCCAGAGCACCUGGGAUGGGUUUGCUUCGACAGGGAGAAUGACCCUCUUUUUACUUGUGUGAGACAGGGUUGACAAGAGAGAUGGAGAUGGAAGGCAGUAGGGCAAUACGUGAGAAGGAGAAAAAAAAAAGUAAUUCUUGAUUAAAUUCUUAAUUUUUUCAGUAAAAUAUGAGGCAAAGUUCUCAGCUUAGAGGAUAGGAAGUCAAAUGAUAGGCAUUAUUUUUAAAAGAAUUGUGAAUCAAGUCCUUGGCCUAGAGUUAGGAAGCCCUGACUUCAAAUCUUGCCUCAACACUUACUAGUAGUGUGACCUUGGGGAAAUCAUUUUCACCCUGUUCAGUUUGGUUCAGUUUUCUCAUCUGUAAAAUAAUUUGGAGAAGAAAAUUUUUGCCAAAUAAAUCCCAAAUGGGAAAUUAUUGGACAACAACAACAAUCUAAUGACUAUUUCAAAUUUCUAGUAAGAGAAAUACAAAUCAAAAUAACUUUGGGAUUUUAUUUUAUACCCAAAAAAUUGGUAAAGAUGACAAAAAAUGGGAACAGUCCUUAGUGAAAGAAUUCUAGUAAAAGUUAGUAGUAUAAUAAAUCAAAUUUGGUGGAGUUUUAAAUUGUUCCAAUUGUUUUGGUAGCAAUUUGGAUUUUUUCAAAAAUGUGAAUAUCUUGGUCAUAAUCUUUGAUGCAAGGACCUCUCUUCAAUGAGUGAGACAGGGUUGACAAUACAGACAGAGGCAGAAGGCAGUUGGGUAAAAUCUGAUAAGGAUGACGAGCAAAAAAGAAAUUCUUGUUUAGUAAAUUUUUUAAUAAAUUAAUUUUUCCAUUCCUUAAAAAUUCCAUUCCUAGGCACAGUCUAAGGAGAUAAAGGACAAAAAGAAAGAAUUCAUGUUCAUCAAACAUUAGUAGUAGCACUAUUUUAUAGUAGCAGAAGACUGGAAAGAGCAAAUGUACAUCAUAUGAGGACUGGCAAAAGAAAUUAUGAAUAAAAUGAAUAUAUAUAAUAAAUAAGUAUUGAAUAAUAUACAAUGUUGAAUAAAUAUAAUGUUAUAAGAAAUGCUAAUUAGAGAGAAGCAUGGGAAGAUUUAUAUUAACUAAUGCAGAGUAAAGUAAGCAGAACUAGAUAAAAUAGUAUUUUAUACCAUCAUGUACAAAGAAAGUACACCAAUUGAAACUGAAUAUUGCAAAAUUAUAAUUACCAAAUCUGGCCCUAAAGAAAACAUAUGAGAAAUACACUGCCAUCUUCACAGAAAGGAAGAUAAAUUGUAGACAUGUGAAAUACUUCAGACAGUAUAACUUUUUUAAUGUGCAGAUUAUUGUUUUGAAUUAUUUUACAUUUUUGUUUGUUUGGUUGUUUGUUUGUAUUGUAAUGAAUAAC
ensembl:lncRNA